UACGUAGGUGGCAAGCGAUGUCCGGAAUUACUGGGUGUAAAGGGCGUGUAGGCGGUACGGCUAGUCAGAUGUGCAAUUCCCAGGCUCAACCUGGGGGCUGCAUCUGAAACUGUGGUUCUUGAGUGCUGGAGAGGAAAGCGGAAUUCCUAGUGUAGCGGUGAAAUGCGUAGAUAGUAGGAGGAACACCAGUGGCGAGGGCGGCUUUCUGGACAGUAACUGACGCUGAGGCGCGAAAGCCCGGCGCGCAACCAGG
rnacentral:rRNA from 1 species